CUCUCCAGUUCACCUUACAGGGUAAGAAGCAGGCACCUAACCGAUCAUUAUAACCUGAUGGUGAAAAUCGAGGUUUCAUCGAAGGAUGCAAGUUGCAGGCCGGAGUGAUUUUUCCUAGGGGUAUCUGGGUUUGGAUGGUGUUACGACUAAGUGGAUCAAUCUUCCUGUCCUACAACUGACAAAGGAUCCCCUAAAGACCCCUGGAAGGCUGGACCAUGGCACAAGAACUGCCUUCAUCCAUCACCGGGAGCAAGUGUGGAAGAGAUGCAUCAACAUUUGGCGUGAUGUGGGCCUUUUUGGGGUGCUAAAUGAAAUUGCAAACUCAGAAGAAGAGGUGUUUGAGUGGGUGAAGACGGCAUCCGGCUGGGCCCUGGCACUCUGUCGAUGGGCCUCUUCCCUCCAUGGGUCCCUGUUCCCCCAUCUGUCUCUCAGGAGCGAAGAUCUGAUCGCUGAAUUUGCCCAAGUCACAAAUUGGUCCAGCUGCUGCUUGCGUGUCUUUGCAUGGCACCCCCACACCAACAAGUUUGCAGUGGCCCUGCUAGAUGACUCA
rnacentral:misc_RNA from 1 species